CUGCAAGAUCAUGUGUUUUUUGACACUGAUGCUCUCCCUUUGUGUUUAUUUUAUUUCAAGCACAGACUGGUUUCUCUCACAUCUUGCGAUGCCCUGCAGGCCCCAGACACCCAGUAGACCCAUUCAAUAAUCCAUCUAUGACUUGAGCAUCCGUCAAGGAAAGAUCAUCACAAGAAACACCCCUUAAAACCACUUUGGGAACUAUCAUAU